rnacentral:rRNA from 1 species
UCAAGGUAGGCGGAAUGCGUAAUGUAGCGGUGAAAUGCUUAGAUAUUACGCGGAACACCUAUUGCGAAGGCAGCUUGCUGGGCCAGUAUUGACGCUGAGGCACGAAAGCGUGGGGAGCGAACAGGAUUAGAUACCCUGGUAGUCCACGCCGUAAACUAUGAUCACUCGCUGUUGGCGACACACAGUCAGCGGCCAAGCGAAAGCGUUAAGUGAUCCACCUGGGGAGUACGGCCGCAAGGCUGAAACUCAAAGGAAUUGACGGGGGCCCGCACAAGCGGAGGAACAUGUGGUUUAAUUCGAUGAUACGCGAGGAACCUUACCUGGGCUUGAAUGCACGGUGCAUGGGGGGGAGACCCUUCUUUCCUUCGGGACUCCGUGCAAGGUGCUGCAUGGUUGUCGUCAGCUCGUGCCGUGAGGUGUCGGGUUAAGUCCCAUAACGAGCGCAACCCUUACCGUUAGUUGCCAUCGGGUAGAGCCGGGGACUCUAGCGGAACUGCCACCGUAAGGUGCGAGGAAGGUGGGGAUGACGUCAAAUCAGCACGGCCCUUAUGUCCAGGGCGACACACGUGUUACAAUGGCCGGUACAGAGGGUCGCCACCGCGCGAGCGGGAGCCAAUCUCAAAAGCCGGUCCCAGUUCGGAUCGGAGUCUGCAACUCGACUCCGUGAAGCCGGAUUCGCUAGUAAUCGCGCAUCAGCCACGGUGCGGUGAAUACGUUCCCGGGCCUUGUACACACCGCCCGUCAAGCCAUGGAAGUUGGGGGUGCCUGAAGUACGUAACCGCGAGGAGCGUCCUAGGGUAAAACCGAUGACUGGGGCUAAGUCGUAACAAGGUAACCGUA